rnacentral:lncRNA from 1 species
UUUCUCGCUUCAUCCGCGGUCCCUGUCUGUUUUCGUUAUGGCGCCUUGUACUUCUACCCAACGUUGCCCGACCCCAUCUUCCCAGCCCACCAGCUCGGUCCGCAUCUCCGGAUGUUUCGUGAGAUACCGAGCCUGCCGGGAAGGAACCGGAUUUUUCCGUCUGGUCCAAGGAAGCACGGGUUAUGGCCACAUGCGCAGUGAUAACUCAGGGCCCCGCGCCUUUUGACGGCUGUUGAUGAAGAUAGUGAGGAGGGAGACCAGAAGAUAAUGGACAACGAUACAGCAGAAGGGCCUGGUUACACUUGAGCUUAUUUCUUGGAAGAGUCUGAGAAGAUGGCCUGUCAGGCUCCUAACACUAAGGGCCAUGUAACCAGUGAAGCAGCCAUUAUAUAUGAUUUGGUCUACACUUGUUGGGUAAGCUUAAGGAUUGUUAACCCUUUUCCUAAGUAGUAUAGCAGAAAUUCAGGUUUGCAUCGUGGCUAGCCAUCUAUAAGCCACCUACAUAAUUUGUCUGGCCUGUGUGCUGAACUAGUUAGCUGUUCACAUCUGGGGCAAAGAUGUUUGCCAUGUUAGUAUUUGUCCAUUGAAGAACAUUGCAUGAGUACAAUCAGACACUGGUCCAUGAUGAAACCCAUUAUCAGUGGACAUCUAUGGAUGAGAAAUGCGGAUAUGGGACUGAGACCAGUUCUUAGGAAAGCCUGAGUUGGGGAAUGAGCCUGAAGGUGGAACUAACAUAGACUUGUACUUCCUUUUCAGAAAAAUUCCACAAGAGGAUCUCCUGGAAGCUAGCAGAAGUUUUUGGCUUGUACAUUGCCAGGCAGCCAUUGGAAUCAGAGCUGCAGUCAGAUUAAGGCCAGCCUGGCCGACAUUGAGAAACCUCAUUUUGGAAAAGUGAAAUACUUUGUCAAUUAACAUGCAGUUGGUUCAAUAAAGACUUUUGGAAAG